rnacentral:rRNA from 1 species
GACGAACGCUGGCGGCGUGCCUAAUACAUGCAAGUUGAGCGCUGACGGAUGGUACUUGUACCAACUGGAUGAGCAGCGAACGGGUGAGUAACGCGUGGGGAAUCUGCCUUUGAGCGGGGGACAACAUUGGGAAACGAAUGCUAAUACCGCAUAAAAACUUUAAACACAAGUUUUAAGUUUGAAAGAUGCAAUUGCAUCACUCAAAGAUGAUCCCGCGUUGGAUUAGCUAGUUGGUGAGGUAAAGGCCCACCAAGGCGAUGCUCCGUAGCCGGCCUGAGAGGGUGAUCGGCCACACUGGAACUGAGACACGGUCCAGACUCCUACGGGAGGCAGCAGUGGGGAAUAUUGGGCAAUGGGCGCAAGCCUGACCGAGCCAGACCGCGUGGGUGAAGAAGGUGUUCGGGUUGUAAAGCCCUUUUGUUGGGAAAGAAAAGGGGCGGGGGGGGAAGCCGCUGUAGUGACGGGACCCAAAGAAGAAGCGGCGGCUAACUUCGUG